rnacentral:lncRNA from 1 species
CUCCCCGGCCACGGCUUCUGCACUCUGUGCUUGCAUACUACGCCAAUUGAUUCUGUACUCUGUAGUACGUUUACGCCUGAGCUGAAGAAGCACUGAUCACCAAUUUGCAUCCAUGUAGCAGUAUUUCCAUUUCUUGUCUCUGACACCUGGUGUCAACAAAAAAUUGUAUCCAUUAUGUUAUCUUAUUUUAUAUGCGAUAAACCGGAAGCAAUCACGAAGUACGAAUAUCCGUACAGGCACAAGAAGGAAUACCAUUCUCGUGCGGGUCUUAGAGAAAGGUCCGAUUCGGUAAGCCGUCGCUUGGGAAGCAGAUUGAGCAGAUCAUCACCUCAAUCACAUGGGGGGAGACUAAUGGGGUCGAGAGGACAAGAAGCUCCUA